rnacentral:lncRNA from 1 species
CUCUUUUCAAUGGAUUGAAAUUAUUCCAACUUUGCCCACUGAGGAUCAUCGAUCAUCCAGAUGAUGCUCGUUGGUCUCACCAUCCAACAGUGACACCUAGCAAUAUGUAGUGGCUACCCAGUGGAAUAAAAGGUGAUGAACCUCUAGGUGCAGUUAAUAUAUGAUACAGUCCCUCUAUCAUGAGUCCUGACCAGAUGGC